AUAGCAUACUUUUUGGGGCAGAAUACAUGCUAAGAGUAACGAAAAAAACAGAAAACAAAACACAUGCACACGAUAUAUAGAGGAAACAGCAGUCCCCCUAAUCAAGAACAGAAACUUGAAAACUCGAGCCUGUUAUGUUUUCGGUUCCUUCUGACAACUGAUCAUCUUCACCAUCUCUUCCAAUCUUACAACUAAAUCUCUCUUUCUCUCUCUCACCCUCUCUCUCUCCUUCUUGGUGUUUCAAAUGGAAUCAAGUACACAAUUUUCCAAGACCAAGAUAUGAACUCCACACGUGGGACCCACAACACUGCCACUCCCCGCCGCCGCCGGAGGAAAACCACCAGCUCCGUUCGACGGAAGCUCAAAAUCCCGCCAACCCCUCUUUUGCAUUGGAAGUUUCUUCAAGAUGAUAGCAAGAGCAGACACCCCGCCUCCUCCGGCAGCGUUGCCAGCGGAGUGAAGGCGGCCGGACAGGGGGGUGUUGGUGUUGGAGGUAGUAGGGCUGCAGUGUCGGCUAGGAAGCUGGCGGCUGGGCUGUGGAACCUAUGCUUGGCGGGUGGUGGUGGAGGUGAUAAAGCUUUGAACUUGAAAUAUAGGAAAACUGAUGAAUUGGGGUUAGAGAUUGAAUCCCCAUUACUGCAUUCUAAACAUAUCAUGGAGGGUGCAAUGAAGUGGGAACCGAGAUGCUCAAGAAAAUUCAGUGACAUCUGCAGCUUUUAUAGCCACACAAAACUUCUUGAAAAUCAAGUUGCUAUGGUGUCUGCUUCUGCCAUGCAAGAACAACUUGUGCAAGCUCGAUUGCGCAUUCAUGAGCUUGAAGCUGAGUGCCAGUCUUAUAAGAAGAAAGUCAAACACUUACAGAAGAAGCUGGGAGAAGAAAGAACUUCAUGGCAGAGCAGCGAAUGUCAGAAAAUUCAUGCAGUUAUAGAUGAUUGUGAAAAUCAAAUAAGCAGGGAAAGAAAAAAACGUCAAAAGCUGGAACUUCUCAAUUAUAAAUUGGUCAAUGAGUUAUCAAAUGUCAAAUCCUCUGCAAAGCAGUUCAGGGAAGAUUAUGAAGAGGAGCAAAAGGCCAGAGAAAUAAUGGAAGAAGUUUGCAAUGAACUUGCCUAUAAAGUUGCGGAAGAUAAAGCUGAAGUUGAAACAUUCAAGACUGAGUCCAUCAGGAUUCAGGAAGAAAUGGAAGAAGAGAGGAAGAUGUUGCAGAUGGCUGAGGUAUGGCGUGAAGAACGUGUCCAAAUGAAGUUGAUUGAUGCAAAACUGGCCCUUGAAGACAAGGAUUGCCAGAUGAAUAAAUUAAUAACAGACCUUGAAACGUUUCUAAGGUCAAGAAGUGGCACCUUGGAUGUGAAUGAGUUAAGGAAAGCCGAGUUGAUCAGACAAGCAGCAAAAUUGGUAAAUGUUAAAGACAUCAAGGAAUUUUCUUAUGCCCCACCAAAAUUAAGUGAUAUAUACUCUAUUUAUGAAGAACUCAAGCAAAUUGAAGACAAUGAAAGGGAGAUUGAAGAAUGCAAGAAGAACAGCCCUGCAAGCAAUGCUUCCAAACUCCAUCUUGCCAUUUCUGAUUUGAAUGCCUAUAACUACCAUUCUUUGCAGCAAGGGUCGACUAUUAUUAAUGAUGAUAACUGUCAUUUAGAAGAAGACGCAAGAGGCUAUGAUGCAGUGAGUCAUGCUGAGGGUCAAGGUUCGAGUUAUUCCCUUGAAGGGAAUCAACUCUCUGUUAGCAGGCUUAGCCAAAGCAAAAAUGCUUGGCAGAUUGCAAGAGAAUGUGAUGAGAAUGAAGCUCAGAAUUCUCCAAACACACAAAGUGGUGGUGUCUACUCGUUUUCAGGAGAAUCAAUGCACAAGGCAUCUUCCAUAUCUAAGCUUUCAAGAUCUGCCCAACGUAACAACAAAUGCUAUGAGAUAACAGCAGAUGACAGUGAUGGAGUGGCCUUGAAUGGAAAAUUUUCUAUUAAGGAGACUUCUCCCAGAAGAAAGUCGUGGGAAGGUAUGCUUCGGCACCAAGAUUCCAUGGAGCAGUGGAGCUCACCAGAGUCAGUGAAUCCACACGUUACUCAAGGAAUAAAAAAGCUAUUUAAAUGGUCCCGAGGCAUCCAAAAGAAUAGCUUGAAGGCCAAGCUUUUGGAAGCCAGGAUGGAAAGCCAGAAAGCUCAGCUGCGCAGUGUUCUUAAACAAAAGAUUUAGGUGUAGUAACUUCCCAAAAUUCUGCUGUUUGAGCAGUUCUAACCAGAAGAACAAUGUGUCCGUCAGCCCAAAAGCCUCGUUAAUGCUGGAGUUUAGGGGAGAAAAUUGUAAACCUCAAGUAGACGGACAUCUAUCGAUCGAUCUUCUUGCAUGCUUGUUUCAUCGAUCAUUAUCAGCCCUGGACUCUGCUUAUUUUCAUGCAAGUCAUUAAAGAUAGAACGCAUUAUACUCGGAUGCACUCGCUGCGUUGUCAGAUAAAUGCUCAAGGAAAAUAUCUAAAUCCAUUUAUUACAGAAAUAGCAUCUUUCUCUGUCAUCUACUUUGUCUUGAUUCAUCAUAAUGCUGUUGUAGAAUACAAGACGCCAGCUGCUAACUUCUUUCUCUUUACUAGCUCCAUUUGAUGAAGCCACAAAAAGGGAAAAAAAGUGGUUACUGUGAAAAAUA